CCCUUAGAUGUUCUGGGCUGCACGCGCGCUACACUGAUGCGCUCAACGAGUUUUGACCUUGCCCGGCAGGGUUGGGUAAUCUUUUUAAAACGCAUCGUGAUGGGGAUAGAUUAUUGCAAUUAUUAAUCUUCAACGAGGAAUUCCUAGUAAGCGCGAGUCAUCAGCUCGUGCUGAUUACGUCCCUGCCCUUUGUACACACCGCCCGUCGCUCCUACCGAUUGAAUGAUCCGAUGAAUACCAUGGAUUGAGAGUACGAAUGGGUUCGCUCAUUUCUGCUGCUCGAGAAGUGGAGUAAAUCUUAUCAUUUAGAGGAAGGAGAAGUCGUAACA
rnacentral:rRNA from 1 species